rnacentral:lncRNA from 1 species
CGGCUUUAUAUGUUUUCUUUUGUAAUGUUAAAUUAAAGAAUGAAAUUACUUAACAACAAGGCAUAAAUAUGAUAAAAAAUUUUAGUGAAGGCAAAGAUUCGAAUAUCUAGAACUUUGAGAUUUUUUUGCACUAAACCUAAAAUGUUUUUGGAUCCUAGUGUGGGCAACUGCCCCCACACCUACGGACAUAGAUCCGUUCCAGACUUCAAAGUUCAGAGCCGUAAAUUUGCUGCUAAUAUGGUGCCUGAACCUGACCAGACCCAAGGACGUGUGGGGUCAAUGUCUGUGCAAUAAAGACAGGCAAACCAAGUGUAACCAUGUGGCCCAUGGGACCCCAAAACCAUGCUCAAUCUUCAAUCCAAACCUGAACCAGAAACAACCGAUCAGCUUAUGUUUCUUCUGGCCUUUGUCUUUCUCAUUUUUGCUUUGUUGGUUUAUUAGCAAUAGAGAAGCAGCCUUUUUUUAAUGUUUUAAUUAUAAGCGAAACGAAAACAUGGAAGCAAUCAAUUAGAAGUGUUAAGACUUGUCUUAAUUAUGAUUGGCUUUUGCAACAAGGAAUGAAAAUUAAAGACCAAAUCAUGCCGUCUGUGGUGGGCGUGGCCGCCGAAAACGAGUUUCUUUUGCUGCAUUUGACUGAACGCAUUUUCCAUCCAUUCCACUUGCUAACGCUCAAUGGCUGCGUCACUCCUGUGUGCAUCAGCACAGCCGUCCAUGUGCAGCUUCCCAGAUGGGAAAUUUAGUAUAUUUUUUUUCAAAUUAUAAGAGAUAUAUAUUUAUAAUCGAAGUGAUGAAUUUAUAAAGGGCACGAUUAACCGGUGUU